rnacentral:rRNA from 1 species
UGGGGAAUAUUGCACAAUGGGCGCAAGCCUGAUGCAGCCAUGCCGCGUGUGUGAAGAAGGCCUUCGGGUUGUAAAGCACUUUCAGCGAGGAGGAAGGGUAGUGUGUUAAUAGCACAUUGCAUUGACGUCACUCGCAGAAGAAGCACCGGCUAACUCCGUGCCAGCAGCCGCGGUAAUACGGAGGGUGCAAGCGUUAAUCGGAAUUACUGGGCGUAAAGCGCACGCAGGCGGUUUGUUAAGUCAGAUGUGAAAUCCCCGCGCUUAACGUGGGAACUGCAUUUGAAACUGGCAAGCUAGAGUCUUGUAGAGGGGGGUAGAAUUCCAGGUGUAGCGGUGAAAUGCGUAGAGAUCUGGAGGAAUACCGGUGGCGAAGGCGGCCCCCCUGGACAAAGACUGACGCUCAGGUGCGAAAGCG